AACGAACGCUGGCGGCAAGCCUAACACAUGCAAGUCGAACGAGACCUUCGGGUCUAGUGGCGCACGGGUGCGUAACGCGUGGGAACCUGCCCUUAGGUUCGGAAUAACUCCCCGAAAGGGGUGCUAAUACCGGAUAAUGUCUUCGGACCAAAGAUUUAUCGCCUUUGGAUGGGCCCGCGUUGGAUUAGCUAGUUGGUAGGGUAAAAGCCUACCAAGGCGACGAUCCAUAGCUGGUCUGAGAGGAUGAUAAGCCACACUGGGACUGAGACACGGCCCAGACUCCUACGGGAGGCAGCAGUGGGGAAUAUUGGACAAUGGGCGAAAGCCUGAUCCAGCAAUGCCGCGUGAGUGAUGAAGGCCUGAGGGUUGUAAAGCUCUUUUACCCGGGAUGAUAAUGACAGUACCGGGAGAAUAAGCACCGGCUAACUCCGUG
rnacentral:rRNA from 1 species